GACGAACGCUGGCGGCGUGCUUAACACAUGCAAGUCGAACGGAAAGGCCCUGCUUUUGUGGGGUGCUCGAGUGGCGAACGGGUGAGUAACACGUGAGUAACCUGCCCUUGACUUUGGGAUAACUUCAGGAAACUGGGGCUAAUACCGGAUAGGAGCUCCUGCUGCAUGGUGGGGGUUGGAAAGUUUCGGCGGUUGGGGAUGGACUCGCGGCUUAUCAGCUAGUUGGUGGGGUAGUGGCUUACCAAGGCUUUGACGGGUCGCCGGCCUGAGAGGGUGACCGGCCACAUUGGGACUGAGAUACGGCCCAGACUCCUACGGGAGGCAGCAGUGGGGAAUAUUGCACAAUGGGCGGAAGCCUGAUGCAGCAACGCCGCGUGCGGGAUGACGGCCUUCGGGUUGUAAACCGCUUUCGCCUGUGACGAAGCGUGAGUGACGGUAAUGGGUAAAGAAGCACCGGCUAACUACGUG
rnacentral:rRNA from 1 species